UCGUUUGGGAAAUGAAGGUAUCUGGU
rnacentral:piRNA from 2 species